rfam:Otolemur garnettii contig013182, whole genome shotgun sequence.
GGGAGACUCCCCGGCCCUGCUGUAGAGGGACCUUCAGCGACUGAGCCAGAAAUAAUAAGGUCCCCA